GGCGGACGGGUGAGUAACACGUGGGUAACCUGCCUGUAAGACUGGGAUAACUCCGGGAAACCGGAGCUAAUACCGGAUAGUUCCUUGAACCGCAUGGUUCAAGGAUGAAAGACGGUUUCGGCUGUCACUUACAGAUGGACCCGCGGCGCAUUAGCUAGUUGGUGAGGUAACGGCUCACCAAGGCGACGAUGCGUAGCCGACCUGAGAGGGUGAUCGGCCACACUGGGACUGAGACACGGCCCAGACUCCUACGGGAGGCAGCAGUAGGGAAUCUUCCGCAAUGGACGAAAGUCUGACGGAGCAACGCCGCGUGAGUGAUGAAGGUUUUCGGAUCGUAAAGCUCUGUUGUUAGGGAAGAACAAGUGCAAGAGUAACUGCUUGCACCUUGACGGUACCUAACCAGAAAGCCACGGCUAACUACGUGCCAGCAGCCGCGGUAAUACGUAGGUGGCAAGCGUUGUCCGGAAUUAUUGGGCGUAAAGGGCUCGCAGGCGGUUUCUUAAGUCUGAUGUGAAAGCCCCCGGCUCAACCGGGG
rnacentral:rRNA from 1 species